GCCUCUUCCCCCAGCACAAGGUGCUCUCGGGGCACAUAGUCUGGCACGCGAGGGCCCCGGCGGGGCUGUUAGAGGCUCGUGGUCAUCCUGACCAUGUGGUCCAGGGCGCCCCGGUCCUCUGGGCCCCGCAUGGAGCGCGGCGUCAGCGCGGACAGCUCGCAGUCCCUGAGCCUCUGCAGGCAGUUCUUGGAGCCCUCGGGCUUUUGCGGCCUCUCGGGGAGCGGCGGCAGCUCAAGCUGGUACUUUUUCCCCAACAGCUCCCGGCAGGGGCGCUCCAGGAGCCUCUGCAUGAGGCGGACGUAUAAGUGGCCACUCCUCUGGCGACAUCCCACGGCGGGGGCCCUCGCGUGGACACCCGCCCCUGCUAGCUCAGGGCUCCGAUGCGAUCCGUUCGACCCUGCAUGGCGGCUUUCAACCCGAACGCGUCCCUCCUUCAAGAUCAAGACCCUGAACGUAGUUCAACAAGUAGUUGGUGAUGAUAGCGUGCCCUGACUGGGCCAGGAUAGCCUCUUUAGUAAAACAGCCACGAAAGUCAUGAAACAGAUGCUCAGCUCCUUUCUUCAUUUUCACUUUAAUUCGGUGAUGCCUCUGUGUCUGUCUGACGACAUCUCUCCUGGGGUCUGUGAUUCUGCUGAUGGUCUUCAGUGCCUACUGAGAAGGGUUCCUGGACAUCAUCAGGUAUGAAAACCUCAAAGCUCUCGGUCCUCAACGUGAGAACCCUGGGCCAGCGGCAUCAGCCUCACCAGGAAACCUGUUCUUCUGCUCAUUCUUGGGCCCCACCCCAGGCCUAUUCAAAGAAAGACUCCAGGGGCAGGGCCUGGCAGCCUGUGUUUCCACCAGAUCUGUGUUAAAGCUCAAAUGAACCAGCCCACGUGAUGCUGACCAGGAAGCACAAGGCUGAGAGCCAGUGUCCAAGGCAACGGUGCCCAUGGGGCCAGAGGCAGCUCCUGCCUGUGCAGCUGUAUUUAGGGCUGCGUUCCCCUCCCUGUCCUGCCAGUUGACGUCAGUGUGGGGUUACUCAGCUAAGGCCACCACGGUAUAUCCACAAAGCCGUGGUAGCAGGCGACAUUAAGGCUGGUCCAGCCAUUGUGGUCAGUCUCCUGCGCCUUCUCAACGCUCACCCCUCGCCGCACCAGCGUCCGCAGCAGCCCCAUGCCUCCUGGACGCCCUCCUCCGGGACGCUCUCCAAGCCCUCGACGCCGUGCUCCUCCUCGUCCUGGAAAGGGUACAGAGUCGUCCCAGGCUAUGCUGCAGGUGUGGGGCCCUGGAACUCUUUGUAGUCAGCGCGGUCCUCCUCGACCUGUGCGCCUAGGAGUGGGGACGGCGGUGGCGGGGUCAUGCAGCGCUCCCAGCCACCCUGCGGCCGGGUCCCAGCCAGCAGCACCAUGCCAGCGGCCGGAGGCGUGGGCUGGGGGCCGGGGCACCGUCCCGGAAAACCGGGCGCGCCCCAAGGUCCCUGCUUCUCGCUUCCGCGUCCCCAGAGAAGCCGUAGCUCCCGCCCCCAGCCCGGCAGAAACCUCCUUUCUUUACAUUAUUAAGUUUGUUUUCAUUUUAAUUUUCUUAGGACAUUGAUAAAAUCACUUUCGGAUUUUUGAGAUUAAAAAUUAAAUAAUUUUCAUCUUUACCCUUUUUAAAUUUUUCACACUUUAUUUUAAUGCUUUUAUUCUUUUGUAAAUUUUAAUUAUUGUAAUUUAUAUCUUCAAUUAUUAUGGAAGAAUUUUAGAAAAGUCUUUUCACAUAAUAAAGACUAAUUAAUGAACUAUUAUUUAUUCUCUCCUCUAUCUCAAAUACGGACUUUAAACUUUUAGAACACUUUUUGUUUUGAGACUCUUGUUACUUAUGUGACAUUUUAACUAUUCACUCUUCUAGUGAAUUUUUAAUGUCAUUCAAAGGGUACAUCUUUCUACACUGAGAAUUAAACAAAGUUCUCAAAAAUAUUCUCAGAUAAUUUAGAAUUUCACCUUCCACUGGCAUGUUAAGUAUGUUCUCCUUCCCUUCUAAUGCAUAUUUUCCUCACACGUCCUCAUGUUAUACUCCUUAUUCACCCUCCAUGCAAGAGGUGAUUUUAUUUAUUUAUUUAUUUAUUGAGACAGAGUCUCAGUCUGUCACCGAGGCUAGAGUGCAGUGGCAUGAUCUCGGUUCACUGCUAUCUUUGCCUCCUUGGUUCAAGUGAUUAUCCUGCCUCAGCCUCCAUAGUAGCUGGGAUUGCAGGUGUGCACCACCAUGCCCCGCUAAUUUUUGUAUUUUAGGUAAAGACAAAGUUUUACCAUGUUGAACAGGCCAGUCUUGAACUCUUGACCUAAAGUGAUCCACCUGCCUUGGCCUCCAAAAAUGCUGAGAUUACAAAAACAGCAACUAAACGCUGGAAUGAUGACUGGGAACUUGUCUAGAGUCUCCAGUGAUUAUCCUCCUUAUAACAAGGCAGAAAGCCUUCCUCAGAAUUAUCUGGACUGACAUCACUCAUUGUCCAGACCUGUUAACAGCAACAAGUGCUGUGAGUCUCAAAUGUGCUCCUUCAAUAAUGCAGUAGAAGGCCUGAGUUUCCACAUAAUAGUAUCCUUGAAUGCCUGGAGACUUAAGGCACAAGAAUGUAUUGAUCCUAUGAACUUUAUGUUUUGUAAAAUUUCAGAUUAUGUGAGGUGUUUGGACAAAUUAAGUUUCAGGGUGAUAUCCACUAUUGAGACAGAAAAUUAGUUUAAAGAAUUAAGACCUCAAAGUCCAGAAUGAGAAAAAAUUGUUUUUCUUAGAGCCUCCUUAUAACUGUCUUAUUUGUUUUAUAGAUGUAAGUACUAGAGGACAAGCUCUACCUGAUAUAGCUGGCCUAGACAUAUGCAGAUUUAUUAAUUGUAGAAGAAAUAAUUAUACCUUUCAGGUAAAAUGGCUAUGCAAAAUAAUUAGUUGCUGUUUUUGAGACAAGUUCUCACUCUGUCACCCAGGCUGGAGUGCAAUAGCACAAUCAGAACUCACUGCAGUCUCAAACUCCCAGCUGGUCUCAAGCAAUCCUCCCAACUCAGCCUCCUGAGUAGCUGGGACAACAGGUGCACACCACCACUCAAGGCUAAUUUUCUUUUUAUUUUUGGUAGAGAUAAGGUCUUACUAUGUUGCCCAGGCUGAUCUCAAACUCCUGGCCUCAAGUGAUUUUUCUGCCUUGGCCUCCCAAAGCACUGGGAUUAUAAGUAUGGCCACUGUUACCAGCCUUAGAUCAUUUUUUUUAAUACAGAUAGCUUCCCAACUAAAAAUAUUUUAUUAGAAUUCUCUGAAUUCAGCAAAGCAAUGUUAUUACUGACCCAGUCUUCACUUAUUUUCAGCUGACAUGGAAGAACAAAAUUACCUUUAUUUUUAAAUUUAUUUUAUUUUAUAUUUUCAAGGUGCAAAGUAUGUUGUUUUGAGACACAUAUACAUAAUGAAAUGAUUACUAUAAUGAAGAAAAUUAACAAAUCUAUCAUAUCACUUAGCUGUGCUUCUUUUUUAUGAUAAGAACACCAAAAAUCUAGUCCCUCAGAAUAUUUCCCAAAAACAAUACAUUAUCAAAUAUGCCUACAGGUUGUACAUCAGAUUCACUUAUUCUACUACGCCUUUACAACUUUUGCCCUUCAUUUACCUAUUUCCUUCCCACCAAUGUAACCACCUUUUUUAAUGUAUUGAACUUUUAAAAAUAGAUUUCAAAUAUGAGUGGAACCAUGAAGGAUUUUUCUCUGUGUGUCUGUCUUAUUUCACUUAGGAAACGUGCCAUUUACAUGCCUCCUAAAUUUAGUACAGAAAUAGAGUGCUAGUCAAGAAUGUGUCUCAGUGUUGUUAUAUUAAUUUUUUCCAAGUUAUCCUCUUUAUCAAUUUUUACUUUUUGUACUAUAGAAAAGUCAAAAUUAUUGUAUUAAAAAAUCUGUAACAAGGCUAUUGAUAAAUAACUUCUUUUAGGGAUAGAAAACUCAGGAAGUUCAAGAUUUCUGGAUUAAUGAUUGACAAUGUUCUUAGUGGUCCCUCUUUGAUUUAUUUCAAUUGUAAGUAAUUCUUGGUGAUAUUCUAACAUAAAUUCUGACAGGUGAAGAGAAUAAAUAAAUUAAGUAUCUCUAGGAGAAUCAAUAGAAUAAGAUUAUCUUGGUUAAAUAGCUAAGAAAGUAUGCUAAAUAGACACAAAAACUUUUUCAUCUUCCAAAAUCAGAGUUAAAUAGUAAAUAAUCGUAAAGUAGCUAAUUCUGUCUUUCUGCAAAAGUGAAUCUGAGCUAAAUUAGAAGAAUGUCAGGAAUAAAUUUUUCCUUGAAAACUAGGAACAAAUAAUGUAAUUAAAUUAUGAGGCACUGACUGUUGCAUACAGUUUUAUGUUGCAUAGAGUUUUAGCAUCAACAGAAAAGCUUACAAAACAUAGGUGAAAAUCAAAAAGGAGUGCUGGGUUGGAGCCCUAAGGUGAAUAAUUUUAUCAUCUCAGAUCACUUGGAAAAAGGCAGCGAGUCCAAAAGAAGCUGGUGAUAAGCUUUCUCUCUGCUAACCCCUAAUGUUCUGCAUGAAAUAUGUGGAGGCAGAAGAGAGACAGUUUAUUAUAGAGUCUACGUGGUAUAGAGCGAAGGAAUAAGAACAUUUCUGAUAAGUAUUUUCAAAAUUUGAAGAAUCAUUCCUAUAUAAAUCAUUCAUUUAAGAGACUAAAAUACAAGUAAGAUGUUUCUUGCCACAUAACCCUCAGCUUAGCCAGGCUCUAAAAAGGACAACACUGGACACCUUGACAGUGGUAAAAAGCAGGGUUUACUCACUCUUGAAUACUAAGAUCUGGUGCUAACCUUAGGCAGCAACUUGUCUAUUUGGUUGAGGUUCAGCUCAAAUCUCUUGGGUUAUUUUCAGUUGUGCCAGUCAUUUAAUUUAUUUUCUGAAUCAAAUAAUAAGAAUGGAUAUGGUUUUGAGUGUAAACAGCAUUCCCAGAUAUAUCUUACAACUUGGUGUGCCAUCUGCCUAAUUUUGAACCUAUAGGACGGGAAUAACUGCAUUGUGAAAAAUACCAGGUGAUUUCCUUAAAGCCAAAUACUCUUGUCCCUCCUACUUUUCUUUUGGCUUUCCUGCUGCAUGGGACGUGGCAAUAAAUGGCAGUUUUCUGCACACAGAGAUAAAAUUCACUUGUUGAGGAUGUCAAUCUUCUUGACAACUCCUAUAUUGGUACAAACAUGUGAGAGCAAUGCACCUUCUGAAUCAUUUCAAAUUUGUGGUCUUUGUUAGAGCAGGUAAGCCGGUGCCCUAGGAGACAUAGCUAUUAACGUUCUAUUAUAGAAUUUUCCAUUCUGUAUCAUCUGGAUUCUUAUUUAAAAUGUAGACUAAUUUUGUUCUUUCUACUGCAUAAGAAGGUUUAUACCACUUUAUGCUUAGUAAAUAAUUAAAUUUAUAUGUCAGUUUAAAUAAGGACAGUCUCCAUUGUUUUAAGUCCUUUUCCUGUUCCCCAUCAUCUUAUAUAGGAAACUUCCUCUUUCAAUGGUUUAUAUUAAAAAACCUAAGACAAUUGAAAUCAACCCUAUAAAAAUUAUGCUACAAUUAUUUUAAACCCUAACAUAAUAGUAUUAUCUUUGAUAUGAAUCUGAAAAUCAAUUUAUUUCUUAUCUUUUGAUAGAUAUUCAUUAGUAUGUUCUAUCCUAUUUUGUUACUUAUAUUUUGGAAAAGUUUCUUAACGUUAGAAUAAUAUUUAUACGUAUUAACUCCUCUACUUAUCCAUUUAUUCAUCUUAUUUAUUGUGUAAUCUAUUCUAAAAAUUUCACUGGAUAAUGGUAAUAUCUUAGCAAAGAAGACAAAUACUGCCAUUGCUUCCUUGGAAUUUUCAAUCUGGUAGUAAUAAGUAUAAGAGUUUUCUGAAUAUUAUAAUCUGAUAUAAUAUACUCAGAGAAGAUGUUAUAGCAGAGCAACCCAGCACUGAAAAACUGUUGUAUGAGCUGAAAUGUGAUUAAUAACUAAGAUGUUGAGAAAUAAUAAAGUCUGUGAGGUCAACUUAACUUGGUCAGACUUAAAAAGAAAAUAAGCACUCUUCUUUAUUCUUUAUAAGAUAAGGUAUCCACUACUUCAUUUUUCU
rnacentral:lncRNA from 1 species